UACGGGGGGAGCAAGCGUUGUUCGGAUUUACUGGGCGUAAAGGGCGCGUAGGCGGUCAGCACAAGUCAGUUGUGAAAUCUCCGGGCUUAACUCGGAAAGGUCAACUGAUACUGUGCGACUAGAGUGCGGAAGGGGCAACUGGAAUUCUCGGUGUAGCGGUGAAAUGCGUAGAUAUCGAGAGGAACACCUGCGGCGAAGGCGGGUUGCUGGGCCGACACUGACGCUGAUGCGCGAAAGCCAGGGGAGCGGACGGG
rnacentral:rRNA from 1 species